rnacentral:lncRNA from 1 species
AGAUGGGCGAUGACUUCGUGUGAGAAGAAACUGUCCACGUGUCCAGAGCAGAACAUCAAACAUAACAGAGGAAACUCACAGCCUCGCCUGUCUCUGGAGAUGAAACUACCAUGUGUAUUACCGGCCCACAAAGAAGCCAAAGUGAGGGAACAGAGGAUCCGAAUGAAAAGUGAAUCUCACAGCUCCUGGGGUGACUGCCUAGAAAAGCAACUCACUCACCAACCCCUUCAGAUCCAAUGGAUGGACAUGGGUCAGUAGCAGAGUUGUAGCAGGUGGUGUGCGAUUCCUGGAUUGCCUUGAGAGAGCAGUUCUACAAGGAGUGCAGUUGCUUCACUUUUCAAUCACAGCCUCCUGCCUCUCAAUCCACAGGAAGCGUGGAAAGAAGAACAGAUUAUUCUCCAUUCCCUUUCUCUGCUCCUAUCUGUAUUUUUCACAGGCAAAUUGGAAUAAAGAUAUCUGGGAGCAGUAAGAGGCUGCA